rnacentral:tRNA from 1 species
GGCCUCGUAGCUCAGCUGGUAGAGCGUGCGCGUACAAAGCGUAGGCGGCGUCCAUUCAUGGGCUCGAAUCCCACCGAGGCUA